CAGAGCUAUAUAUAAUAUAGAUAAUAGUGAAAUCAAGAUGGAUAUAUGUGUUUAAAAAGAGGGAUGAAAGAUACCAGAGAGACAGUCAAACUAAUUCUCUGUCAGAACUAUAACCCAACUACUGGACCACUGUGCUUGGAGCGGCAGUUCAAAGCUAAUUGAAAAGAAUAUGAUUUGAUGAAGCAAUAGUGGACAUGACAUUUGCAGAUCCAUUCUGUGUCAAAUGCCAAAGGAGGACUUAACAUGUGAAUAAUGAUAGCAAUAAAGAUUAUAGAAUAGAA